GUCGGAAAUACACACUAAGAGGAGAAUCCGGCAGCGAUUUCCAGACAAGCCCGCGCCCCAGUAGCUAGUUGUCGGGGGAAUGGCCCUCCAAGGCAACGAUGCGUAGCCGACCUGAGAGGGUGAUCGGCCACAUUGGGACUGAGACACGGCCCAAACUCCUACGGGAGGCAGCAGUAGGGAAUCUUCCGCAAUGGACGAAAGUCUGACGGAGCAACGCCGCGUGAGUGAAGAAGGCCUUCGGGUCGUAAAACUCUGUUGCCGGGGAAGAACAAGUGCCGUUCGAACAGGGCGGCGCCUUGACGGUACCCGGCCAGAAAGCCACGGCUAACUAC
rnacentral:rRNA from 1 species